rnacentral:rRNA from 1 species
UACCAGCACCCCGAGUGGUCGGGACGAUUAUUGGGCCUAAAGCAUGCGUAGCCGGUUUUACAAGUCCUCCGUUAAAUCCAACUGCUUAACAGAUGGGCCGCGGAGGAUACUACAAGACUAGGAGGCAGGAGAGGCAAGCGGUACUCAGUGGGUAGGGGUAAAAUCCGUUGAUCCAUUGAAGACCACCAGUGGCGAAGGCGGCUUGCCAGAAUGCGCUCGACGGUGAGGGAUGAAAGCUGGGGGAGCAAACCGG